GUGACACAAUAGUUAAAACUGUAUAUUCCAGAGAAGAUUAGCAUGGCCCCUGCACAAGGAUGACACACAAAUUCAUGAAGUGUGGUCCAUAUUU
rnacentral:snRNA from 1 species